CAUUUUUUACUGUUAACUCCUCAUAAGGGGUUGGAUUCAAAUAAGUUUAAUUUCUGUAUGUGUAAAUUCAGUGUAUAUAUCACUACUCCACUCCUUACACAUUUUAACAGAUGCUACCUUGUACCGAGCUGCCUCUUGUCAAACAUUUGGAGCACUGGAGUGUGUGUGUAUAGAUGUGCGGUGGAGAGAUUGAGAGACAGAAAGAAAACAGAUGUUCCGUGGGAUUUGAUUCACUUGACAAUGGAAAGUCGGGGCAUGAGUUCUGCACCAAAAUGUUUGAUGUUCUUCUCAUCUGGAGCAGAGCGAGAUGCAUGAAAGUGGUGGUGGGUCUGGAGCCUACAUGGAAACACUGGACACAAAGCAGGAAUGACUCCUGGACAUGUGCCCACAGGGCGGCUGGCCGGAUCACUGAUCUGCAGAUGCCUCAGAGGAGCGAGUGACUCACAGACCCGGCUCAUUUCUCCUAGCCUGACACCAAAUGGUCGCGGGUCAGGGUUCUGGAGUCAUAUGAUGCAAUGCAGAAAUCCAUGGAGGACAAGAUACCAGUCCAUUACAGGACACCACACAAAAGGCCCUCAUGAAGUUUAGUUUAGUAAGUUUCAGUAAUAUUCAGUUUACUAAAACUGUUUUACCAUUUUUUUUUAUUUUGAUGUAAUUGUGAGGAAACUGAAUAAAGGUUUUAAGGACCAUAAUCAAAAAUCUGUCAUCAGUGUCAUCAACUUCAUCAGUGGCUUUAGUGACACAGAAGAGACACGCUGCUUCUCUGCAGACUCUCACUUGAUUGAAACACAGUUCAGUAGGGCAGGGGGUUAACUACAGAGUCAAGCACAUUUGACCUGAGGCUCACACCCAUCAUUCUGCUGGAGAGAGUCCAGAAGAAGAGCUCCUGAUCCACAGCGCUGCUGUUUCAUGAAAAUCAAAUCCCAAGACUGUCGGUCAUCUGACUAAACCAAACUCAAGCCUGAACAACUGCUGCUGUGUGUGUUUUUUCUGUUGUUGUUGUGAUCAAUUUCAUGUACUCAUGUAUCAGUCGCACUUAUUUGUGCAGAAGGAGACGAAGGAAGUUAAUGUUGUAUUAUGAUGAUAUUUGGAGAUCAAACAAGCAUUCUUGCAAAUCGUGAAAAGGAUUUUGUAUAAAAACAACAAAAUGUAA